AAGUCAAUACCAUGGGAAAAGCAAUUAUCUUACUUUUGGUCGUUUGUAUGCUUAUUGGUGCUUCGGUUUCCGAGGCAUCCAUGACAGCUGAUGUUGAUUCAAAAUCUUUUGCCAUGCAAGGUUCUUCUUCAUCUGGCGGUAGUGGUAGUAGCGGUGGCAGCAGCAGUGGCGGAAGCAGCGGCAGUGGUAGCAGCAGCGGUGGUGGUUCACAAACUUCAUCCGGAUAAAGAACUUAUUACUUU